AGAGUUUGAUCCUGGCUCAGAACGAACGCUGGCGGCAGGCUUAACACAUGCAAGUCGAACGAAGCUUCACCUUCGGGUGAGUGACUGAGUGGCGCACGGGUGAGUAACGCGUGGGGACCUGCCCUUCAGUACGGAAUAACUCCGGGAAACUGGGACUAAUACCGUAUACGCCCUAAGGGGGAAAGAUUUAUCGCUGAAGGAUGGACCCGCGUCUGAUUAGUUUGUUGGUGGGGUAAUGGCCUACCAAGACUACGAUCAGUAGCUGGUUUGAGAGAAUGAUCAGCCACACUGGGACUGAGACACGGCCCAGACUCCUACGGGAGGCAGCAGUGGGGAAUCUUGGACAAUGGGGGAAACCCUGAUCCGGCCAUGCCGCGUGAGUGAAGAAGGCCCUAGGGUUGUAAAGCUCUUUCAAUAGUGAGGAUAAUGACAGUAGCUAUAGAAGAAGCCCCGGCUAACUUCGUGCCAGCAGCCGCGGUAAUACGAAGGGGGCGAGCGUUGUUCGGAAUUACUGGGCGUAAAGAGUACGUAGGCGGAUUGGUCAGUUAGAAGUGAAAGCCUUGGGCUUAACCCGAGAAUUGCUUUUAAUACUGCCGGUCUUGAAUCCUGGAGAGGAUAGGGGAAUUCCCAGUGUAGAGGUGAAAUUCGUAGAUAUUGGGAGGAACACCAGUGGCGUAGGCGCCUAUCUGGACAGGUAUUGACGCUGAGGUACGAAAGCGUGGGGAUCAAACAGGAUUAGAUACCCUGGUAGUCCACGCCGUAAACGGUGUGUGCUAGCCGUCAGGAAGCUUAGCUUUUUGGUGGCGCCGCUAACGCAUUAAGCACACCGCCUGGGGAGUACGGUCGCAAGAUUAAAACUC
rnacentral:rRNA from 1 species